rnacentral:rRNA from 1 species
UACGUAGGGGGCUAGCGUUAUCCGGAUUUACUGGUCGUAAAGGGUGCGUAGGCGGUCUUUCAAGUCAGGAGUGAAAGGCUACGGCUCAACCGUAGUAAGCCUUUGAAACUGGGAAACUUGAGUGCAGGAGAGGAGAGUGGAAUUCCUAGUGUAGCGGUGAAAUGCGUAGAUAUUAGGAGGAACACCAGUUGCGAAGGCGGCUCUCUGGACUGUAACUGACACUGAGGCACGAAAGCGUGGGGAGCAAACAGGAUUAGAUACCCUGGUAGUCUCUGA